AGAGUUUGAUCCUGGCUCAGAUUGAACGCUGGCGGCAUGCCUUACACAUGCAAGUCGAACGGUAGAGUAGCAAUACUCGAGAGUGGCGAACGGGUGAGUAAUAUAUCGGAACGUGCCCAGUCGUGGGGGAUAACGUAGAGAAAUUUACGCUAAUACCGCAUACGAUCUAAGGAUGAAAGCGGGGGAUCGCAAGACCUCGCGCGAUUGGAGCGGCUGAUAUCAGAUUAGGUUGUUGGUGAGGUAAAAGCUCACCAAGCCGACGAUCUGUAGCUGGUUUGAGAGAACGACCAGCCACACUGGGACUGAGACACGGCCCAGACUCCUACGGGAGGCAGCAGUGGGGAAUUUUGGACAAUGGGCGAAAGCCUGAUCCAGCAAUGCCGCGUGCAGGAAGAAGGCCUUCGGGUUGUAAACUGCUUUUGUACGGAACGAAACGGCUCUUUCUAAUAAAGAGGGCUAAUGACGGUACCGUAAGAAUAAGCACCGGCUAACUACGUGCCAGCAGCCGCGGUAAUACGUAGGGUGCGAGCGUUAAUCGGAAUUACUGGGCGUAAAGCGCGCGUAGGCGGCGUAACAAGUCAGAGGUGAAAUGCCAGGGCUCAACCCUGGAACUGCCUUUGAAACUGUUAUGCUAGAGUGUCGGAGGGGAUAGCGGAAUUGCUAAUGUAGAGGUGAAAUUCGUAGAUAUUAGCAGGAACACCGGUGGCGAAGGCGGCUAUCUGGACGACAACUGACGCUUAGGCGCGAAAGCGCGGGGAUCAAACAGGAUUAGAUACCCUGGUAGUCCGCGCUGUAAACGAUGGAUGCUAGCCGUUGGGGGGUUACCCCUCAGUGGCGUAGCUAACGCGUUAAGCAUCCCGCCUGGGGAGUACGGUCGCAAGAUUAAAACUCAAAGGAAUUGACGGGGACCCGCACAAGCGGUGGAACAUGUGGUUUAAUUCGAGGCAACGCGAAGAACCUUACCAGGGUUUGACAUGCUCUCUAUGAAUCUCUGAAAGGAGAUUCUUCACUUCGGGUGGGAGAUGCACAGGUGCUGCAUGGCUGUCGUCAGCUCGUGUCGUGAGAUGUUGGGUUAAGUCCCGCAACGAGCGCAACCCUCAUCCUCUGUUGCUAACAGGUUAUGCUGAGCACUCUGAGGAAACUGCCGGUGAUAAGCCGGAGGAAGGUGGGGAUGACGUCAAGUCCUCAUGGCCCUUACAUCCUGGGCUACACACGUGUUACAAUGGUGGUGACAAUGGGUCGCUAACCCGCAAGGGUAUGCUAAUCUCCAAAAGCCACCUCAGUUCAGAUUGCACUCUGCAACUCGAGUGCAUGAAGCUGGAAUCGCUAGUAAUCGUAGAUCAGCACGCUACGGUGAAUACGUUCCCGGGUCUUGUACACACCGCCCGUCACACCAUGGGAGUUGGUUCUACCUUAAGCCGCCCUUAAAAGCGUCCACGGUAGGGUCAAUGACUGGGGUGAAGUCGUAACAAGGUAGCCGUAGGGGAACCUGC
rnacentral:rRNA from 1 species